AUGCGGGGAGGGGAGCUCAGUGUCACGGUGAACAAGGGGGCCCAUUUACAGGUUCAGCUGGUGGAGUCUGGGGGAGACAUAAAAAUGGAAGGAGAGUCUAUCAGCAUCUCGUGUAAAGCCUCAGGGUUCACCUUUGGUGACUACUGGAUGCACUGGUACCGACAGGCUCCCGGGAAAGGACCCGCGUGGGUGUCCAGCAUUAGCUAUUGGGCCGGAACCGACAAGAGAUACGCUGAGUCGGUGAAAGGGCGAUUCACGAUCUCCAGAGACAACCCCAACAACCUGCUCUAUUUACAAAUGACCGGCCUGAGACCCGAGGACGCGGCGGUGGUCUCCUGGAUUAGCAGCACUGGCGCCAGCAGAGAUUACCCUGACUCGGUGAAAGGGCGAUUCACCGUCACCAGGGACAACGCCAAGAACCAGCUGUAUCUGCAAAUGAGCCACCUGGGACCCGAGGACACCGCCCGGUAUCACUGCACUGCGAGAGACACAGUGCGGGGAAGCCAGGCUGAGCUCUGA